GCUUGGAGCAUGGGCAGAGCCUCCUUGCAAUUGUUUGCUCAGCUGUGCAGACAACCUGGAGGCAAACAGACGUUUUCAGUAGUAUGCAUGGCUCAGCAGCGUAAGGACAGCUCAUUUUUCCUCUUCAGAGGCAUGCAAACCAUACCUAGCUGGGGAAGGAAGGAUCCCUUGCUUGCAAAACUCAGUGUAUAACUACCACAGAUAUUUCAUGAUCAGUUAUCUUCAAUGUACCCAUCCCCUUGAGCUGGAAGACAGGUAUGGGGAGCAGAAUCAAUCCCCCAUGAUUCAAGAGGAAACAGUGACCUGCUAUUGCACCUAGAUUAUCACAAGUUUAUGGAGCCAGAUGAGAUCCACGCAACCUAACUGAAAGGGUGUUGUAACAAGUCUAUUUGGAUGCUACAAACAACAUAUAUUUCCUGGAAUAGAAAUCAACCUUUUCACAGAAUGCUUUCUUGGUAUCCCAGCUCCCCUCAGAAGACAGAACAGUAUUCAUUGCCUCCAAAUAGCUAUGAUCUCCACAAUGUGAGGCUUGCCAACUCCAAGUUAAUCGUCACAGGCUGUGGCAUUGCCUACCUCCAAAUAUACGCCAUUUGUUACAUCCAUGUGCUCACAUCUGCUCUGCUAUCAAGACAAUGAGGUAAGAUCUUCAUGUAGUGCCAUUAAUAUUUCACAAAAAUGGAAUAGAAAAAUAUUUACAAAGUCAUAGCAAUAUUUCAUGUUGACACUUUUGCAUCUUUCCUCCAUUAUUAGAGCACAUUAGGCCUGUAGGUUCACCUUGUGGUUCAGUAUAGUGCGUGCAGGUAUUGCUCACCUGCAGUGGUAGUCCAUGAAAGGCCUUUUUCACCCCCAUCCAUUCAUUGCUCCUGAUGCAGAAAGUUUGCCUCCAUUUUUUCUGGCCUCAAAGCACCAUUUAAAGCAAAUGUCUACCUACCUUUUAUGGGAGCAGUUUGUGCAGAAUCAUGAAAAAGGAAUUCUUCACAAAAAAAAAGCAGUAGUUCUUGGACAGUCAGGACAAGUAAAUACCCAUGAGCAGACUCACCUCCAGGAAAUAAGUUUUGCAAGACCAAUAAUCCACAAUACACAACUUACUUUGCAAGUUUGGCCGAAGGAAAGCAUGAAAUUUCAUGAGUUGUCACACUGUGGAGGGCAGACACUGAGCCAGCAACACUGUACCAGCAAAGACCCAGAGUGUGGAAUCUGGGGAGAGAGGCAGAGUAGAGCACUACACAACUUCCCCAGUGGUUAAUACAACCUCUAGGUGAAGUCUAAGACUAAAGAAUAAAACAACACAUUUAAAAGGACCUUAGCUUGGAGAUUUGGCUUGGAGACUAAUCAUAAAUGCAUUAUGUCUGUAAAAGGGUUUUUUUGUAAAGCUCAUUUUGAUAUAUUUCUGCAUUGCACCAUAAAUGCUCCCUGACACUUCCAGUGGUAUAGUUCCCAUGGGUAAUGCUCUUACAUACACACAUACACAAUCCUGGCCAAUCAAUUCAAGAAAGGAUAUGUUCUGCCCUGGGUUAUUUUUUCACUCGUUUUACUUUCACACAGGAAAACAGAGUGAAAUUACUUAGCCAGUAAAAUGCAGAAGAUUUGGUGACUUUUAAAACAGUUAAUCUGAGGAUAAGGCCUCAGUUUAAGCAAGCCUCAGGUUGUGGAAAUCAAGGAACAGUGAUAAAAAAUGAUGUUUCUUUCAUUAGUAUAGUGGGAUCUAGGACCAUAUAUAACGUCUUGACCAGUCAUUUUGCCCAAAGUUCACAUUCUGUUUAUUCUGCAAAAGACUGUAGACCUAACAUUUCUUAAGAUAUGUGAAAAAUAUCAACAGGGAGAUAUUGACCUCGAUUUUAUAAGAUGUUGAUUUUAAUUUUUUUUUCAAGGAGAGAGAUCUAGAUUUAAGUACAAGGAAGAAGUUAGUCUGCUUUGCUCUAGUGAUUCUGGUCACCGAUAAUAUUAAGCUGAGCUUUUACUAAUAAACUAUUUGUUGUAAAAAUAACAGGAUUUUUUAAAUCUGAAAGUUAAAGGAGGUUAAAAGGGCCCUGUUUCAACUUUUGAGCACUUUUAUUUUCAUUGGAAAAAUAAACCUUUUUCUUUAUUAAAGUCUAAAAAUUAAAGGGUUUAAAAUGGCUUCAAAACCCUUGUGUGCUGAAGAAAACAGAUGCUGUGACUGUGAAUAACUCCUUCAUUUGACAAGAGUGGAACCAAAGCAAGAAAUGGCUAGAGAUCAGUCAAGCUUAUGAACACCAAAUCCUGAGAGAAAGUUUUGCCAGCCUGCUGAGUAUACUGAAGUGUGUUUUUAGUGGAGAAAAUCUCCAAUGGGAUACAUCUUGCCCUGAGUUGAGGAUUUAUGAGCUUAAACCACUUUCCCUAGCCCAGAAGUUGUGCUCCUUAAGGUGGCAUAUAUCCACUGUAGUCCUCAGAUACGCUGGUAUAAUUGAGCUGUGGAUUAUUAAGUAGUGAAAUGACAGAGGUGCAGGAAACACUGCAUGAGAAGAUACAAUUACACAGAGCCCAUGAAUUUGCAUAGCUACCAUGCAUUUGAUACAGCUACAGAAACCUCUCAGUGCCUCAAUAUCUAUAUGACACUACCCUAUAACCAGAUCCAUUUUCUUAGAUACUUACAUAGAGGAAAGAUUAGUAUAUCUAAGAUGGGAUAAAGGCAGAAUGAAGGUCUGUAUAUUCAAGAUUUUCAUUCAAAAACCUGUUCUCUGAUUACUGGAUAAACCUGGAGGCACCUAUGCUUCAUAAUGUCUUCAGCUCUCAUUUUUAAAGUUUCCCAGAUACCUGAAGCUCUUCUUUUCUGGUAUGUGCAGAAACAUCUCAUUUCUGGUAGCAUUCAGCAGCUCUGUUCCUCUUAGCCCCUGUGCUUAGAAACCGCUCAGAAGUUUUGUCCCAUUGCCUUUCAUAAGGAGCUAGAAACACCUGGCAAGUCAAGGACAUCCCUGGACCUGGAUUAAGACCACUAAAAAUAUGGUAAUUUCAAUUUAUUUCCUUAAUACUAUGACCACAGAAAGACCUAAUAGAUCUGCAAUUACUAUAUCUUGUCCAGAGUGGAAAGUUAUGUUUGGAAGAGACCCUCUCAAGACCAGUCCACAGGACUCUGCAUAUUAGUAACCCAUCUAUUUUUUUAGUUUCUCUUCUUAUCACAUGGGUUUUCUGAGAUGUGAGGUUAUGGCAGUUUUCUAAUUAAACAGUUGAAGAACUGGGAGGAGAAACAAAGAAAAAUGGAUCAAAGUUUCUCCAUAUAAAAUGGACAGUGAUAAUAAUAAAUUUCUAAUAAUGAACAAGGCUUAGGGGUAAAACCUCAGUUCUGAAAAGUGUGGAGUGAUGGUCCAAAAUGUUGUCAUAAAAGAAAUGAUUUUAAAUAAAAAAACUUUUAGAGACAAAAAGUUUGAUUUGUAAAGUCCUUGAAGCUCAAAUAAAUAUUUCUGAAACUAUGUACUGGAUUCUUCAUCCAAAAAAAAAUAAAAAAAAAAAUCAACGUCCAGAUUAAUACAGGGUCAAGCUUAAUGUCCUUGUUAAAGACAAAGUUCAUAAAUGUGUUUGUAGAUGAAAUUAUGCUGCAAACAAGACUUAAAAAAAAUCUCUAUGUUCAGCUUAUCAAAGCAAAGGCAAAAAGGUGACUGGGCUGUUGUGUCUGGGUGUGUACUUUUAUAUGGAAGAGAUUUGUCAGUCAGGGCAUUUUCACUUGUGCUAACAGCCAUAACAAAAUUUUGUGGCAAAAAAAAUAUGAAUUGGACAAAUUCAGCUUUGGAAUAAAAGGAAAAUUCCUGCAGGUCUCUGAGGGGCAAUUAGGCAUAUGGAACAGUUUACAGCAGCAGAUAAUGAAUUUAUUGCAUGUUGAAGUCUUUAAAACAAAGAUAUCAAAUACUUUUUCUGGAAAUAUCUAUAUAUAUGUAUACUGAAUUUUUGCAGCUUCUGAGGGAUAUCAUUUGCCUUGUAUCAUUUGCAUGGAAUCUAAGGCAAGAAAGCAUGGUGAGGAAGAAUCAAAUCACGAUGCUGUUUUCUGGCACAGAGUCUGUGAGACACUGAAUGGCAGAGAUCCCCCUGCAAGAGUUUGGGGGAACAGAGCUGCCUACAUGGCCCUCAGUGCGCUCACAGUGCUUGCAGCAGGAUGGUAAAACAACAUCUUUUAUCCAGCCCAAACACCAACCCUGUCCAUGUUCUUAAGUCAUGCUGUUUUCUCAUUGUCUUGCUGUUCCCUUGAAUUUUGUAUUCUUUGCUGCACAGCAGCUCAAUUUCAAUAGAAAAAGAAUAAAAAGUGUGCUAAUGUCCACUAACAGAAAAAGAGUAAGAAAAAUAAGAUUUUGUUUUCAGUUCCACAUAUUUACAUCUCUUAUAACUUUACUGAUUGCUAAGUCUAAACUAAUGUCACAUAGUCUGAUUUAACAAACUUAGCAGUAUGAAUAGUUUAGCCAUUGUCAGCAAGACGAAUUGUUAACCUACUUACAUGUUCAAGUACUUUUCUAGUUAUGUGACAGUACUUAGCACAAUGAAGAAAUAAAUCCUUAAAUAUUUUUCUGUCAUUAAUAGAAGUUUAUCAAUUUGCAGAAAAAUAUUUUUUGAGGGAAUACAAAUUUUAAUGUAGGCUAAAGCUCCUUAACACAUUUAUUAAAUCUCUUUUCUUCAAAGACUCAUGUAAUGCUGAUGGGAGGCCUGAGAAUUUGCAGUAAAAGAACCUGUCACUGACUACAAGCUGGAAACCAAUUCCCAGACAGAACAAAAUAUUUUUUCCUUAGGAAAUUUGCUCAGUGUAGUAGUGAACAACAUUACUAGGGCCACUGGGGAUGCCCACGCAUUUAUUUUCUGACUCAGUAACCCAUUUUCCCAGACCAUUAUGGGAACCAGGAGUUCUUGUUUUCUGGAGAGAGUGAGAACCAUACUACACAACACUGGUUAAUGUUUGCUUUCCUAAGUCUCUUAAUUGAAAUAAAAUGUUAUUUCUGUGCUGUUUAUAUUGCAAAAAGAUACAGCUUGGAGAUAAGCAAAUUUAAAGGAAAGGUUGCAUGCUGGAUAAAGGCAGGAUGCAGAAGAUCAGUACUCUUUGGAUUUGUUGUUACUUGGCAUAAACUCACUGUGUGGCCUUGCACGGAUCUCCUAUCCCCGCAGUUAACCCGUAAGUCAACUUACAUGUGCUUAUUUUGUAGCAGUAUUAAAGGCAAAACUAAAGAGUCACUGAAUGAUGUUUCAGCAUUAUUUUGUUUAUUUGGACCCAGUGUAAAUUCUCCCCCAAAUCAGAAUAAGGUCUUUUCUGAAAGCUCAAAGAUGUGGUUUCAAAAACUAUUUUCUAGGGAAAAUACAAGAUUUCAUACCUUAAAUAUACCACCACCCCCAUCAAAUGCUAAUAUUUCCCAAAGGGGAACGUGCAUUUCCAUAUUUGUGUGUGAGAGAGGCUGUGUCAACUAUCACAGCAAGGUUUAUGGAAGUUGAAGUAAGCACUCAAGGUGACCUAUUCCGAUGUUUUAUGUCCAGCCUCCCACCUACUCACUUCAGCAAGGCUUCGUGGAUCGAGGAGAAGUAUUUAAGGGCUGCUACCAUGUUUACUUCCUGCAGUGAAAAACAGAUCACUCUUGAUAACUAUUCACUUGAAGAAAACCCCUGUAAACUGUGUGUUCUAAAAAUCAUUUGGGUUAAUGAUUACUGUAUUUUGACUUCUCUGUUCUAACAAUAAAU